AUAAAAAACCAAUGCCCUUCGGGGCUCCUUGGUGAUUCAUAAUAACUUCACGAAUCGCAUGGCCUUGCGCCGGCGAUGGUUCAUUCAAAUUUCUGCCCUAUCAACUUUCGAUGGUAGGAUAGUGGCCUACCAUGGUGGCAACGGGUAACGGGGAAUUAGGGUUCGAUUCCGGAGAGGGAGCCUGAGAAACGGCUACCACAUCCAAGGAAGGCAGCAGGCGCGCAAAUUACCCAAUCCCGAUACGGGGAGGUAGUGACAAUAAAUACUGAUACAGGGCUCUUUUGGGUCUUGUAAUUGGAAUGAGAACAAUCUAAAUCCCUUAACGAGGAACAAUUGGAGGGCAAGUCUGGUGCCAGCAGCCGCGGUAAUUCCAGCUCCAAUAGCGUAUAUUAAAGUUGUUGCAGUUAAAAAGCUCGUAGUUGAACCUUGGGCCCGUCCUGCCGGUCCGCCUCACCGCGAGUACUGGUCCGGAUGGGCCUUUCUUUCUGGGGAAUCCCAUGGCCUUCACUGGCUGUGU
rnacentral:rRNA from 1 species